GUUUUGUACUCGGUGUAUAUAAAAUAGAGGGAAAGGAACCCAAUAGAAAGAACACAAACGAGUCCCAAAUCAUUAGCCAUCAGCUUAAUAUUUAAUCAAUCGCCUCCGAACACUUUCUCCUGUAUUGUCUACCUCUAAUUUGUGUACCCCUGUCUUGCAGUUGUGUGAUUCGGCCAAAUAAUUAUAUUUUUGUUCACUCUAACAUAGGCCAGACUAUAGUUGUUAUUCCAGGCGUAUUAGUGCUAUGUGCAAUCAUAACCUGGGGACAAGGUUAGAACCAAAUACACAGGGACUAACUUUAAAUUAACAAUCAAUCAAAUGUAUAUAUAAAUCCCUUUUUACAUGAGCUGAUGUCACAAAGUGCUAUACAGAAACCCAGCCUAAAACCCCAAACAGCAAACAAUGCAGAUGUAGGAGCACGGUGGCUAGGAAAAACUCCCUGGAAAGGCAGGAACCUAGGAAGAAACCUAGAGAGGAACCAGGCUCUGAGGGCUGGCCAGUCCUAUUCUGGCUGUGCCAGGUUAAAAUUAUAACAGUGCAUGGCCAAGAUGUUCAAAUGUUCAUAGAUGAACAGCAGGGUCAAAUAAUAAUAAUCACAGUGGUUGUAGAGGCUGCAACAGGUCAGCAACACAAUCAUCCAGAUAAUAAUAAUCACAGUGGUUGUAGAGGCUGCAACAGGUCAGCAACACAAUCAUCCAAAGUGAACAUUUACUUGUAAUGUUUUAUUUCCAAUUGCUUUUACAAAACAAUCAUGGAAUCUGCUGGAUGUGAUGACAAGUCAAAAUCUUAAGUGUGUCUGGGAAUUUGUGUGUGAGAAUUUGUGAUUGAGAAAAUGUUUCACAAUGGAGUGAAAUGGCGAGGCACUAACUGUUAAAGUUAUCCAGUAGGAAACACAUUUUUGUUUUCUGUUUCAAACCAUUUUGGUACAUUGUCUCUGUCACUGAACAUGACCCAGAUCUUUCUGCUCGGGCUGCAUCUAUCAAGUUUAGGAGGGCUGAUCUUGAACCAGUUUUGCCUUUUAUAUCAUAAUGAUUAAGAUUAUAUGGACAGGUUAGGACUGGAUCAUUUAUCAGCAGCUGUACUCUAAGACACUUUAUGAAUACAGGCCUAGAUAUUGUAUGUCAUAUCUCCAGUUGAAAGACUGGUCUCUCCUGGCCCUGGGAUGGGCUGGCUGGACUGGCUGUGUCCCUCUCCUCAGGGUCUGAGUCCUGGGGGUCUGAGUCUCGGCCCAGGGGGUUCUGUGGGUCCAUGGGGCUGGCGGUGGCAGCAGCCAUGAUGGUGUUGAGCCUGGUAAGGGACAGCGAGCGCUGCUUGGCCUGGGGAGCAGGGGAAGUACGUUCCAUGGGGACGGGGUUUGGCAGGUGACUAUAGCGAUGCCCCUCCUCAUCGUACUGGUACAGACGAAUCACACGGCUCUGUCUGGCGGGCCGGGGAGGAGAACACCUCUCUUCUCCCGCUGAUCCCUCCCCCUGCCUCUCCACUCCCCCCUCUCUCACCCCAACAGACCCUUCUUCUGAAUCACUGCUACUAUCACCUCUAAAUCCUCCCUCUUCAAUCUUUCCAUCACUCUCUGUCUCCUUACACUCUGUCCUCCCUUCCUCACUCUCUCUUCUUUCUUCCUCCCUGUCACUUUCCUUCCUCCCCUCCUUUCCCUCUCUCCCUUCCUCACUGUCACUCCUUUCUUCCUCCCCCACUCUCCUGCUCUUCUCUUUUCCAUCUGUGCUGCCUCCCACCUCCCUCCCUUCCUCUCCUCCCCUCUCCCUCCCUUCCUCUCCUCCCCUCUCCUCUUCUCCUCCCCUCUCCCUCCCUUCCUCUCCUCCCCUCUCCUCUUCUCCUCCCCUCUCCCUCCCUUCCUCUCCUCUCCCCUGGUAGCAGCCCUCCAGGUAAGCAGUCUCUUCAUGAUGUUUGCCCCUGAAGCUUCUCUGAGGUUUGGCUGGUGGAGAUGGGCUUACAUUCUCCAUGGUAACGCUUGUCAUCGAGGCAGGGUAAUACUCAUCCUCUUGUUCCACAUCCUUCCGGAAUGCCACGCUGACUGUUUCACCAUGGUUACAAUGUUCCUGUCCUAGCGAACGCACCCAAUUCACACACCUUAGAGAGGAGUUGUGGUAAAAUAUAUCUGGAUUUAAUAUUGAUGCUGUUUAAAUGGGGAGUUCAGUGUUUUACAGCUAUACUACUGUCACGGAAAGCAGUCUAUGGGCCAAGAGAAACAAAUCCAUGGUUCGGUUUUCUUUAAACAACCACUACAAGUUUCAACUAACCAUGAUUUAGUUUCUCCUGGCCCAUAUUCUACUUUCAGGGUGAGGACCCAUCUAACAUGAAGUUGUAAGAUACUGAACUUCAUCUUCAUCGAAUGUAAAAUAAAGGGGAAUAGAUGUUGACUAACAGUUGAAUAAAUGUUUAAUAUAGGUAAACAAAGCAAUGCACCUGUCCAGUAAUGUCCUGCUCAAAGCUCCAGAGCUGAACCCCACCAGGAACGUCACCACUACUGAUGCUGCCACCGCUGCCGCAAACACACCGUCAGAAACCACGGCAACAUUCCUCUCCUCUGCAUGACCACCCAGAAUACUCCUGACCGCCCGCCUGUGUUCGACAGCAUGGUCCUGUGAACUGCUGGCAGUCCUGAGGGAGGUAAAGACUGAAUGAAUGUAUGAGUCCCAAAUUGCACCCUAUUAUAUAGUGCACUACUGUAUUAACACAACAUGACUGCCUUACAACAGUGCUUACAGCAGGUAGGGUGUGAGUGUAGUUUGUCCUCCGGCCAGGAGGAGGCAGUAAUACAGCCCGCUGUGGUGAGGAGAAGCAAUGUGGAUCCGCAGGCUACCAUCUCGUUCCAUAGAAAUCACAUCCUUCUGGUUGGCAUGAAGACUGCUGUUCUGGACCCGACCGAAAGGGGUGUGCCAGUACUGGACCACUCCUACACACACACACCAGUAUAACAGGGGUACGUGGCAUUCCACAAAGGUAGUCUUUUGUGUGUGUGUUUUAUCUCACCUGCAUGUGUUGUGUUCAUGCAGGUCAGUGUGAGGCUCCUCCCUUUGUGAACUCUGACCCUAGAGGUGUGGCUUAGGGUUAGACUGACCACACCCAUACAGAGGGCUGAGCCAAUCAGCAGAGCUGCUGUCAGCAGAGACCCCAGAAUUCUUCCCAUUCCCACAGCUCUACACACACACACACACACACACACACACACAAUAAGGACAAUGUUUCUCAGAAUGCCACAAAUACCUCAUCAUAUAUGGACCCAUGUCAAGUAACAUGUUUUUAUAUUCAACAAAUAAUAAAGCAAUCAAUAAAUCAAUUAACCAAUCAAACAAGUAUUUGAUAUAGUUUCUCUUGGCAUAGUCCUUCAUUGAAACGCAUUGUGUGAAUAAGUAAUAGUCUUCUGGGAAAAAUAAUAUUAUAAUACAAUGAUCCUCAUCACAAUAUCAUUAUGACUUACUGUGUAGUUUGUUCUGUAUAUCUCCUUAUACAACAAACCGUUUUAAAUUAAAUUAACAAGUUAGAUGUUUCAUGUCCAUCUCCCCCGUUGUCGGAUGUGAAUGUUGUCUUUCUUCAGUUCAGUAUAGUGUAAAGUGCAGUUUCUCACA
ensembl:lncRNA